ensembl:lncRNA
AUAUGUGAAUGACAGGUGUUUCUUGUUACCCAGGUGUGUCCUGUUAAAUUGAUUGUUUAAACAAUAAAUAGCUCUGAGAAUCUACUCAUGUUUUUUCUUCAGUUUCACCUGUGAAGACUGCAUUUGUUAAAAUGUAUGAGCCAACAUGAAGAUUAGACAGCUGUCUAUGAGGAAAAAACAUGCCAUUUUGAAGCAACAUUUUGAUGUUGAUGAGGGAAAAUCAAUCAGGUGUAUUGCACAAGCAUUGGGCAUAGCUAAUACAACAUUUUGCAAUGUCCUGAAAAAGAAAGAAACCACUGGUCUACUGAGCAACAGACACUGAAUUGGUCAGCAAAGGAAAACAACACCACUUGAUGACAGAAACAUUGUGAGAGUGGUGAAGAAAAACCCAAAAACAACGGUCAGUGAAAUCAUCCAGAAUGUGCAAAGGGCAGGGGUGAAGGUAUCACAAUCCACUGUUUGAAGAAGACUUCAAGAGCUGAAAUAUAGAUGCCAUACCACAAGAUUCAAACCACUCAUCAGUAGUAAAAUUGGAAAGCCAGAUUGGAAUUGGCAAAAAAAAAAAAAAGUACAGAGAUGAUCCACAGAAGUUCUGGAACAAAGUUUUAUGGACUGAUGAGAACAAGAUUAACCUCUACCAAGUGAUAGAAAAAAGAAAGGAUCUGUUCAUGAUCCAAAAUAUACAAGCUCAUCUGUGAAACAUAGUGGAGGUAGUGUCAUAGCUUGGGCUGGCAUGGCUGCUUCUGGAACAGGCACACAAAUCAUUAUUGAUGAUGUAACUCAUGAUGGUAGCAGCAGAAUUAAUUCAGAAGUUUACAGGAAAAGUGGAAUGUUUUAGACUGGCCCAAUCAAUCACCUUAACCCAAUUGAGCAUGUAUUUUAUCUCCUGAAGGGGAGACUGAAGGGAGAAACCCCCACAAAAACAACUGAAUGAGGCUCUGGUAAAAGCCUGGAAAACCAUCACAUAAGUAGAAACAAACAAUUUGGUAAUGUCACUGAGUCACAGGCUUGACGCAGUUAUUGCACGCAAGGGAUAUGCAAUCAAAUGUUAAGGGUUAUUUUGUUUAAUUUACUUCAAGAUUUAUCUGCUCCUAUAUUUUUGCUCUCCUAAAAAUUGGGUGGUCUGAUACAAAGGUUCUAUAGUAGUGCUUGAAAGUUUGUGAACCCUUUAGAAUUGUCUGUAUAUCUGCAUAAAUAUGACCUAAAACAUCAGAUGUUCACACAAGUCUUACUUGCAGUUAUUGCUGCACAAGGGGGUCACACCAGAUACUGACAGCAAAGGUUCACAUACUUUUGCCACUCACAGAUAUAAUAUUUGAUCAUUUUCUUCAAUAAAUACAUGACCAAGUAUAAUAUAUUUGUUUAGCUGGGUUGUAUUUGUCUACUUUUAGGAAUUGUAUGGAAAUCUGAUGAUGCUUUAGGUCAUAUUUAUGCAGAAAUAUAGAAAAUUCUAAAGGUUUCACACACUUUCAAGCACAACUGUAUGUUUUUUUAACACAUAUAGCUGUAAAUAACAGAAAAUAAAAGUUGAAAUCCUAAACUCUUAUUCUAAACUCUUGUCUCAUAUCCAUCUUUUGAUCACAAACCCAAAUGUUUUGGAGGAGACUGUAAUAUCCUAUAAUAUCUGGCAAAAACCUGUAUAAAUGCUAAUAGGUACAUGCAUAAAAUUUCAUAUAGCAUAUGUAUGUGACUUGUCAGGCUAUAUAACACAUUAUAGUAG